AUAAUUUUGUUAAUUGCAAUCUUCAUGUUGUACAUUAAAUCUCUAGACUUUUUCAUCCUACAUAUUUGCUACUUUGUAUCCUUUCACCUAUA